UACGAAGGGGGCUAGCGUUGUUCGGAAUUACUGGGCGUAAAGCGCACGUAGGCGGACUACUAAGUCAGGGGUGAAAUCCCGGGGCUCAACCCCGGAACUGCCUUUGAUACUGAGAGUCUCGAGUCCGGAAGAGGUGAGUGGAAUUCCGAGUGUAGAGGUGAAAUUCGUAGAUAUUCGGAGGAACACCAGUGGCGAAGGCGGCUUACUGGUCCGGUUCUGACGCUGAGGCGCGAAAGCGUGGGGAGCAAACAGG
rnacentral:rRNA from 1 species